CCAGCAGGUGAGAGUCCCCCUCCCACCUGUGCUGCAGAGGGGGUGAAUGUUUUGACUCAGUGGUAACCUGGGGGCUGUAAAGCAGACGUUGCAAUAGCCCUGAGUGUGCCAGAAGCUUCACCACACACAAACAGCAUUCAGUGCUUGGACUCAGACAUGAAAAAGUACAGGGCAGACUCGUGGAGGUGUUUCAGCAUCAAAUCAGUGCCAGGUGGCUGAGGCUGGUCUGUGAAAAGGUUGAACACAGUGGUGAAAGCUGCUGCACUUUGAAGAAGGUGGUGGAACCAGGUAAGAGGGAAGGAUCUGCUGCGCUACUGAUUCCUUGGCAUUGCUGGAAAUCUCCUUAGAAGCCGCUGACUAAUCCACUGGGUUCCAGUCCAGCACAUUAUCCCUCCUGACCAUUGCUGUUCCCCAGGCAGGGUGGCUGCCUGAUGUUCUUUCUGCUAGUUGCUGAAUAGUUCAGGAGGGGUGGUAGUCACCGGUACACUAAUGGCAAACAACAGCAAUGAGCUUACUCGUCCUGAGAAGGAGAAAUUUGGCCUGUGUCUCUCCUGUGAGUUUGUGAAUCCUUGCUGGCUGCCGGCUUGCUUUGCUUCGGAGGGUGCAGCAAUAUGAUGGCCAGCAUCCAGCCUUGGGCUGAGCUCUCCCAGAGACAGGGCAAGAAAUGGGUCCCUACAGAUCUGUCGAAGAAAUAUAGUAAACAUGCCCUUGUAUUCCACUGCUGAUUUUCACAGCUUCAUCAUGUAUAUGUAAUCUGAUUUCAACUGAAAAUUCAUUGUUGUUUUGACUUAAUGCAAGCAAUGUGCUUUUUUUUUCCUUCCUCAUUGUGGGAACUGACUGAAACAGCAGAGCCUUUUGACCUGAAAGUGUUUAGGCAGAGUCAAGUCAGCAUUCAUGGCAGGUGAAGGAACCCAUUACCUUUCUCAUUGUUGCCCCUAUUCAUAACUCUUUUUUAGGAAGAAAUAUCAGUCAUUUACAUUGCAAGUUCAUAGUACUGGAAAAGAUGCAAUUGAAAAACUUUUCCUGCAUUUGGGGCACUGUGAAAAAACCUCCCUGGGAAAGCACAAGUCUUCUAAAGACCCAGAAGCAGGAGCUGUGUCCCUGCCGGAUUUCUGAGCUCAGCCUGCUCCUGCCCAACUUGUGUUACCUGGAGGGUGCAUACAAACUGUAAAGCAAUGGAAAAACAAACCUAGAGAGGAUUAAAACAGUCUCCUCUUGCUGCCAAUUGCUGUGGAUUUGAUUUUGUCAAUGAGACAAAAACUAUCAUGAGCUGCAAAUGGAAAAUCUGUUUUCUAAUAUCUGCAGAAAAGACCCCACAAGAAGUGCCAAAAGACUUCUACUGCCUGGUGAUUUGGAGUUUGGCCUUCAGAGGAGCCCAGUACGGAGUGACAAACUGGUGCAUGUGCUCUCAUCAAGGCGGGAGGGACAAGACUCAGGGUGCUGGACAGAGGCUGAAAAGGUUAUCCUGUUGCAUUGUAAACAACCGCUGAAUCUUCAGAAGAGAUUUCUCAUCUGGGCUGUUUUGCUGGAGAUAUUGCUUGUCAUGGACCCAUGUCCUGGUUCCUCUCACUGAGCGGAUUAUUUAGGCUGCCCUAGCCAAGUACAUGUAAAAUCAAAGAUUCCUCCUUGUAAAAGAAAUCUCUGGUUUGCUGGGAAGACUGGCUUCUAGGAAGUUCUUGGGCAACCCUUUGGAGAAUUUCAAGUGAUCGUUUGUCCUCACACCUGUGUCUGGAAGUCCACAGGCAAAACCAGAUGAGAAAACAACCUCUGCUUAUAAUACCAAGAAUUAAUUUUCAUUGAAGGAAAUCCUGGAUGUUCUGAUGAAAUGGAACAGGGUUUCCUACAUUCUGUCAUUCUAUAGAUGUUGUCAAAGUUGAUCAUACCUGCAGAACCAUGACCACAUCUUCUGGAUCUUCCCUGUGAUCCCACAUUUGCCUGUAUUUGCAUUGCCCAGCUGGAGACAAGGUGUGGUGUAGUGCCAUCGUGUGGAUUCAGGAUGGGUGGAGGCAGAAAAUUGGCUUGAAAGACAAAAGCAGGUGUGGGGUGGGUGUGCAGGUGCACUAUGCCUGAGAUUUCAUACAAGCGAGUCUGCUUGAUGACUGCUACAUGAGAGAAGCCACUUUACUUCUUUAAUUACUUAUAAUGAAGGAUCAUGGGAUGGUGAUGUCGUCAUUUUAAGGCUGGCUAUGUCUAAGUGCACUGCCAGGAAGAGGAAAGUUGAAUGAUGAUUUACGUACCUUGGACAAAAUUCAGCUCUUCCCUGACAGAAUUUGACCUGAUGAUUUUGGAGACUGAAAGCUCUCAGCUCACCAUUUCCCCUGAUGGCAUUGGGGCUAACCCACUAGUGACAUUAGUUAUAGUGCCUCUAUUUGGAACCUAUGGAAGUUUGAAACAACCGAGGCCCUCUCGUUGUCACCAUGGCACGUACUGAACCUUGAGGCUAUGCUUCCUGGAUGAACUAUGUUUCCCCAAUAUAUCAUUGCUGACCAUAAAGGACAACAGCUCCAGGAAGAAUGGUGACUACAUUAACAUGAAAGAUGUGAUCACAGUAGCUGGAACACAGAAGACACCUGUAUUUAGUCCUGUUCUCAUCCAAGUUGGCCAGUUUUUUCCAGACUUUCCUUUGGUUCAUGGAGACUUCCCAAGUAUCCUUCUCAGUUCCGUCUUUCAGGCACUCGCAAAAGCCCCACAAACACUUGACACAGCCCGAGAGGCGCCGGCACCGCUGAGAGGACGAGGCGCUUUUUUCCCGGCCGGUGGCGGCGAGGCGGCACCGGACCCGGGAGGAGCGAGGGAAGAAGGACAGGCGGAC